AAGUCGUAACAAGGUUUCCGUAGGUGAACCUGCGGAAGGAUCAUUAUGGGUUUUGGUAUGAGUGAUUGUGAAUUGGUGUUGUUUGCUGGGGGUGGUUGAUCAAUUACUGGGGUAAUUGAUUGAUUACCGGGGCAGACACACAAGUAACAAGAGCAAUUAUGGAGGAAAAAGAGUGCAAGUGCAGGGGUGCAGCAAUUUGCACAACACACAACGCACAAACAUAACAACAAACAUACAACUUUUAACAAUGGAUCUCUAGGCUCUU
rnacentral:misc_RNA from 1 species